UGAUGCGAUACUUGGUGUGAUUUGCAGAAUCUCGUGAGCCAUUGAGUUUUUGAAUGCAAGUUGCGCCCGAAGCCAUUUUUUUGGUCGAGGGCACGCCUGCCUGGGUGUCAUGCAUGGAGUUUUCCUGGGACCUCCUCCUCCGUGAGGCCGAUUGCUCGGCUGCUUUUCAUUGGGGGUGAGGGAGAUCUCGGGCGUAUGUUGGCCUCCCGUUCCCCGUCGUGCGGUUGGUUUAAAUUUGGGGUCCUUGGUGGCAUGCAUCGUUGAAGAGCUGUCUUAAACAACGUUUGUCCUAUGUUGGCAAGUGAGCCCUCGCGGUCCCAUGGCUUCCUCGACACUUGUAUGGAGUUGCCAUUUGGACCCCAGGUCAGGUGGGAGCACCCGCCGAGUUUAAGCAUAUCAAUGAGCGGAGGAAAAGAAACUUACGAGGAUUCCCUUAGUAACGGCGAGCGAAACGGGAGUAGCCCAGCCUGGAAAUCGAAUGGCAUGACCAUUUGAAUUGUAGUCUGGAGAAGCGUCAAA
rnacentral:rRNA from 1 species